rnacentral:rRNA from 1 species
GUAGGUGGCAAGCGUUGUCCGGAAUUAUUGGGCGCAAAGCGCGCGCAGGCGGUUCUUUAAGUCUGAUGUGAAAGCCCACGGCUCAACCGUGGAGGGUCAUUGGAAACUGGAGAACUUGAGUACAGAAGAGGAAAGCGGAAUUCCACGUGUAGCGGUGAAAUGCGUAGAGAUGUGGAGGAACACCAGUGGCGAAGGCGGCUUUCUGGUCUGUAACUGACGCUGAGGCGCGAAAGCGUGGGGAGCAAACAGGAUUAGAUACCCUGGUAGUCCACGCCGUAAACGAUGAGUGCUAAGUGUUAGGGGGGUUUCCGCCCCCCUUAGUGCUGCAGCUAACGCAUUAAGCACUCCGCCUGGGAGUACGGCCGCAAGGCUG